CAGUCAAAUGCAGUCAUUUGCUUGAAUUUUCACCUGGAAAAGUUCAGUUGGAGUCAGUUGAUUUGUAUUAAACUCUGUGAAAACCUGUUUUCCAAGGUCUCAUCUGGAAUUCUGCGAUAAACCGUGUGCGUCCAGCAAGAUGUCUUUCGUUAUACCCCUGAGAGACGAUGGCUCUGUGCAUUUACUACAUAUUUCCACAAGUUAUUCCCAAUUUAAUGUUGUUAAUUAACAAUAAUUACCAAAUGAUAAUUUCUCCACGUUUAGCGUUUCUAAUCCACUGUCCAAUAAAAUGACACGGCUAAUCUGUUUGUGUUUAAUUACUUUGCAGA